rnacentral:rRNA from 1 species
UACGUAGGUGGCAAGCGUUUAUCCGGAAUUAUUGGGCGUAAAGCGCGCGUAGGCGGUUUUUUAAGUCUGAUGUGAAAGCCCACGGCUCAACCGUGGAGGGUCAUUGGAAACUGGAAAACUUGAGUGCAGAAGAGGAAAGUGGAAUUCCAUGUGUAGCGGUGAAAUGCGCAGAGAUAUGGAGGAACACCAGUGGCGAAGGCGACUUUCUGGUCUGUAACUGACGCUGAUGUGCGAAAGCGUGGGGAUCAAACAGG